UCGAAGCUUCUUCUUUCAGUAAACAUGGCGUAAAGCAUAUUCAUCGAUCUUAUUAGUUUUUCCUCCUUUCUUUCAUGUUAACAUGAUAUCAUAGCCGAGAUCCGUCUUAAUCUCGUACUAAGGAUUCAAUUGAUCUCACAAUCAUUUUCAACAAUUGAUUUUAUAUACACUUCGAUCGUCUUUUCUAUUUUUGAAGAUUCAUGGUUUGGUGUUGUUUUCCGCUCGAUUUUUCUUCUCCAAAAUUUUGUUCAAUCAUCAUCUCCAGCGCAUAGAAGCAGUGAAUCUCAUUUUUAGAAGAUUUCAAGGACUUCGACUGAAAUUAGGAGUUUGCUUAUAUCGGAUUCUAUGAUGGCAGUUGAUAUCGAAUUGGUUUCCUGGUUGAAGGUCGUAGCUCUCCGGUUGUGAAAGAGAUUGGUAACAUCAAGCUCAUACUUCACUAUUUCUUUGAAUUUCCUCUUGCAUGAUCUAGGUUUUUGUAUAGAUUUGAUUUGACUGUCAAUUUGAUAACAUGACCGAGGGAACUCCUGAUUCUUCUUCAACUCCUGCUAUUUCUCGAACUGCUUUCUAUGUCAUCCUCUCUAUGUGCACCCAUCAGACGUUUUGGGAACCUCGUUGGUCUCCACUCCGUUGAUGGAUCAGGAUAUGGUAGUUGGAGGCGCAAUAUUCUUGUUGCACUCUCAAUUAGAAAGAAAACUAGAUUUUAUAAAUGGAAAUUCUCAGAAACCUACUUCACCCCUUGCCA
rnacentral:lncRNA from 1 species